CUCCGAAAAGUUAGCGAUGCGUGCCCGGGAUCAAACCUCAACCUCCGAUUAGGAGGCCGAUAUCUUAAACACUAGGCUAUCGCCGCCACUAAUAAUAUCUACUUACACAAUCUAAGUAAUCUUAAUACUUAGUAAUAAAAGUUAUCCUAGCUGCACUGAAGAAUUCA